GGAUGCGAUCAUACCAGCACUAAAGCACCGGAUCCCAUCAGAACUCCGAAGUUAAGCGUGCUUGGGCGAGAGUAGUACUAGGAUGGGUGACCUCCUCCUCGUGUUGCAUUCC
rnacentral:rRNA from 16 species